GAAUUCGCCCUUAGAGUUUGAUCCUGGCUCAGGACGAACGCUGGCGGCGCGCCUAACACAUGCAAGUCGAACGAGCGAGAGAGAGCUUGCUUUCUUGAGCGAGUGGCGAACGGGUGAGUAACGCGUGAGGAACCUGCCUCAAAGAGGGGGACAACAGUUGGAAACGACUGCUAAUACCGCAUAAGCCCACAGCUCGGCAUCGAGCAGAGGGAAAAGGAGCAAUCCGCUUUGAGAUGGCCUCGCGUCCGAUUAGCUAGUUGGUGAGGUAAUGGCCCACCAAGGCGACGAUCGGUAGCCGGACUGGGAGGUUGAACGGCCACAUUGGGACUGAGACACGGCCCAGACUCCUACGGGAGGCAGCAGUGGGGAAUAUUGCACAAUGGGGGAAACCCUGAUGCAGCGACGCCGCGUGGAGGAAGAAGGUCUUCGGAUUGUAAACUCCUGUUGUUGAGGAAGAUAAUGACGGUACUCAACAAGGAAGUGACGGCUAACUACGUGCCAGCAGCCGCGGUAAAACGUAGGUCACAAGCGUUGUCCGGAAUUACUGGGUGUAAAGGGAGCGCAGGCGGGAAGACAAGUUGGAAGUGAAAUCCAUGGGCUCAACCCAUGAACUGCUUUCAAAACUGUUUUUCUUGAGUAGUGCAGAGGUAGGCGGAAUUCCCGGUGUAGCGGUGGAAUGCGUAGAUAUCGGGAGGAACACCAGUGGCGAAGGCGGCCUACUGGGCACCAACUGACGCUGAGGCUCGAAAGUGUGGGUAGCAAACAGGAUUAGAUACCCUGGUAGUCCACACUGUAAACGAUGAUUACUAGGUGUUGGAGGAUUGACCCCUUCAGUGCCGCAGUUAACACAAUAAGUAAUCCACCUGGGGAGUACGACCGCAAGGUUGAAACUCAAAGGAAUUGACGGGGGCCCGCACAAGCAGUGGAGUAUGUGGUUUAAUUCGACGCAACGCGAAGAACCUUACCAAGUCUUGACAUCCUGCGACGGUUCUGGAAACAGAACUUUCCUUCGGGACGCAGAGACAGGUGGUGCAUGGUUGUCGUCAGCUCGUGUCGUGAGAUGUUGGGUUAAGUCCCGCAACGAGCGCAACCCUUAUGGUCAGUUACUACGCAAGAGGACUCUGGCCAGACUGCCGUUGACAAAACGGAGGAAGGUGGGGAUGACGUCAAAUCAUCAUGCCCUUUACGACUUGGGCUACACAUGUACUACAAUGGCGUUAAACAAAGAGAAGCAAGACCGCGAGGUGGAGCAAAACUCAGAAACAACGUCCCAGUUCGGACUGCAGGCUGCAACUCGCCUGCACGAAGUCGGAAUUGCUAGUAAUCGCAGAUCAGCAUGCUGCGGUGAAUACGUUCCCGGGCCUUGCACACACCGCCCGUCA
rnacentral:rRNA from 1 species